rnacentral:siRNA from 1 species
CGCGUGGUGUCCGGUGCGCCC